UACGAAGGGGGCUAGCGUUGCUCGGAAUUACUGGGCGUAAAGGGCGCGUAGGCGGGUCGUUAAGUAGGGGGUGAAAGCCCAGGGCUCAACCCUGGAAUUGCCUUCUAAACUGGCGACCUUGAGUAUGGCAGAGGUGUGUGGAACUCCGAGUGUAGAGGUGAAAUUCGUAGAUAUUCGGAAGAAACACCAGUGGCGAAGGCGACACACUGGGCCAUUACUGACGCGUG
rnacentral:rRNA from 1 species